GGGAAUGGAGGUCUUCCCCACCACAACCUGCAGAGCAUGUGGGAUCUCAGCUCUCAGGCCAGGAAUCAACCCCACACCUCCUGCACUGGAAGGUGAAGUCUUAACCACUGGACCGCCAGUGAAGUCCUCAUAACUGUAAUCUCCUUUGCGGAGAAGCCUGCCAAGCAUGAGGCAAUAGGCCAUUAAAAGGCUACAGCACAGUGGAUCUUCUUUUCCCCUGGACUCUGGCUAACAGUCUAUCACAAUGGAGCAAGCCUGGAAGGAGUGUACCAUCAAAACCACUAUAAAAGCAUGAAGCCAAGUAGAGGAACCCUCUCAUACACUUUAGGGCUUUGGGGCAUAGAUUUCAUUACGCUUAUAAGAUAAAGAUUGACUUUUGGCUGUAAAGCAGCAGUGUGUCACUGACCGAAGAUAAGUUUAAGCAAAGAUGAUUAUUCUUUCUGACAAAACGGCUGAGAGUACUCUUUUCCCCUUGAAUUUUACAAAUAUGCUGAGUGUUGCAAAGAAGAAUAGCAAGGUUGCUAAUAUUCUUUAGAGAACAGGAUUUCCUGGGAAAUGGUAUCUUCAGAGGGAUUGCUAGAGAGUUUCUGAUCUGUUGUAAAAUUGCCUUUAUAAAGAUCUGGGAGCGUGGCAGUAAAACAUGGAAAGUAGGUGUGUCUC
ensembl:lncRNA